UACGUAGGGGGCUAGCGUUGUCCGGAUUUAUUGGGCGUAAAGAGCGUGUAGGCGGCCAGGUAGGUCCGUUGUGAAAACUCGAGGCUCAACCUCGAGACGUCGAUGGAAACCAUCUGGCUAGAGUCCGGAAGAGGAGAGUGGAAUUCCUGGUGUAGCAGUGAAAUGCGUAGAUAUCGAGAGGAACACCAGUGGCGAAGGCGAGUCCCUGGACAACUCCUGACACUGAGGCACGAAAGCUAGGGGAGCAAACAGG
rnacentral:rRNA from 1 species